CAGUAGCCGCGGUAAUACGAAGGGGGCUAGCGUUGUUCGGAUUUACUGGGCGUAAAGCGCACGUAGGCGGAUUCUUAAGUCAGAGGUGAAAUCCCAAGGCUCAACCUUGGAACUGCCUUUGAUACUGGGGAUCUUGAGUUCGGGAGAGGUGAGUGGAACUGCGAGUGUAGAGGUGAAAUUCGUAGAUAUUCGCAAGAACACCAGUGGCGAAGGCGGCUCACUGGCCCGAUACUGACGCUGAGGUGCGAAAGCGUGGGGAGCAAACAGGAUUAGAUACCCCAGUAGUCCCUGUCUCUUAUAA
rnacentral:rRNA from 1 species